AUUGAACGCUGGCGGCAUGCCUUACACAUGCGAGUCGAACGGUAACAGGUCUUCGGAUGCUGACGAGUGGCGAACGGGUGAGUAAUACAUCGGAACGUGCCUAGUAGUGGGGGAUAACUACUCGAAAGAGUGGCUAAUACCGCAUGAGAUCUACGAAUGAAAGCAGGGGAUCGCAAGACCUUGUGCUACUAGCGCGGCCGAUGGCAGAUUAGGUAGUUGGUGGGAUAAAAGCUUACCAAGUCGACGAUCUGUAGCUGGUCUGAGAGGACGAUCAGCCACACUGGGACUGAGACACGGCCCAGACUCCUACGGGAGGCAGCAGUGGGGAAUUUUGGACAAUGGGCGCAAGCCUGACCCAGCAAUGCCGCGUGCAGGAUGAAGGCCUUCGGGUUGUAAACUGCUUUUGUACGGAACGAAAAGCCCCGGGUUAAUACCCUGGGGUCAUGACGGUACCGUAAGAAUAAGCACCGGCUAACUACGUGCCAGCCGCCGCCGUAA
rnacentral:rRNA from 1 species